rfam:Triticum aestivum genome assembly, contig: Triticum_aestivum_CS42_TGACv1_scaffold_112188_2AS
AUUAUACUCCCUCCAUUGCACAAUACAUGCCUUCUAUUUGUCAAAAUAUAUAUGUAUCUAGACAUGUCUUAGUAUAUAGGUACAUCCAUUUUUGGACAAAUGGAAGUCAAGAUUUUUGGAACGGAGGGAGUACACA